UCUGGGCCAAAUUGGAAGUGGAAACAAAGUCGAAUUGUUCUGUUAGAAAGAUGUUAGGCUUGCUUAUCAAUGGUAUUCCCAUCCAAAUCCUAGUCAACAUAGGACAUAUUGUUCUUGUUAUAAAUGUCGUCAAAGUCGACCCAAUAAGCAAUUGUUUUCUCUAAGCCCUAGCAUAGUUACAUCCUCUUCUUUCUAAGCUAUGGCAAACUGGGCAGAAUUGCCUCGUGAC
rnacentral:lncRNA from 1 species